AUGUCGCAAUAUUGGUGGGGUGACGAAGAAAACCAUAAAAGGAUGCAUUGGCUCGCUUGGUGGAAGAUGUGUGUACCAAAGGAAAGGGGUGGUAUGGGUUUCCGGGACAUUCAUAGUUUUAACAUGGCCAUGUUAGCCAAACAAUGCUGGAGACUCAUUGAGAAUUAUGACUCACUUUGUGCAAAAGUUUUAAGGGCCAGAUAUUAUCCUUCUGGGGAUAUUUUGAACUAUGAAUUGAAGAAGGGCUCAUCCUUUGUGUGGCAAAGUAUUUGA
rnacentral:rRNA from 1 species